UACGGGGGAUGCAAGCGUUAUCCGGAUUUAUUGGGUUUAAAGGGUGCGUAGGCUGUGAGGUAAAUCAGCGGUGAAAUGCCCCCGCUCAACGGGGUGAAGUGCCAUUGAUACUGCCUUGCUGGAAUGCGGAUGCCGUGGGAGGAAUGUGUGGUGUAGCGGUGAAAUGCAUAGAUAUCACACAGAACACCGAUUGCGAAGGCAUCUCACGAAUCCGCGAUUGACGCUGAUGCACGAAAGCGUGGGUAUCAAACAGG
rnacentral:rRNA from 1 species